GAUGCAUUCUAAUUGGAAAUUCUUCUCAGAUUUGAAUCCAGAAGAUCAAGUUAAAAAUGGUGGAGUCUGGAGCCAUCUCUAAUUCUUAUAUUGUUUGGGAGAAGAAAAUAUUUCCUUAUGCCCAGAAAACUGCUUCAAGUUGCAAAGACUCUUCCCAAACGAACUAAUGAAUUAUCUUACUGAGUAUGCACACCUGAAAUAUCUCAGGUUUCACUUCUAUUUUAUUUAGAAAUUGCUUAUUUCAAGUAAGAAUGUCUUUAGAAACCACUUACUACUCUUGUGUCAGUAGGGCUUAUAUGACAUUUUAUGUGCUUUGGUGGUUGUUUUGGCAUUUUGCUGCCCAGUGCAUGGAUGGACACUGCUAAACAUACUGGCUGAGUAGGCUGAAUACAUUCUCUCCAAUGCUGUUGUAUCUAUAGAGGUUAAUAUACUAUUUAAAUGAUGUGGUUGUCAGUUAUUGUAAACUACUGGAUUUAUCAAAAUAAAAAUUAGCAGCAUGAGCUUCUCCAGGUUUGCUUUCUUGUGGAUUUUGACUUUUAACCAAAUAUCUAGAGCAUAGCUGAACUCUGACAAAGGAAGAAGCCAAUGAGAUAGAGAAGUGUCAUAGAAAUUCUAACAGAAAUAGGCAAAUUGAUCAGACAUGUGGGAAGUUGCAUUAGUUACAUAUUUCCUCCUAAAUAGGAGUAAUUGCAAAUUACUAUUCUUCAACACAAAAUAAGUCCUAGUAAAUCAUAUAGGAUAAAAAAGUUCCAGUGAUCAUCUGAGUUCAACAGCAGCA